GAUCCUGGCUCAGGAUGAACGCUAGCUACAGGCUUAACACAUGCAAGUCGAGGGGCAGCAUGGUCUUAGCUUGCUAAGGCUGAUGGCGACCGGCGCACGGGUGAGUAACACGUAUCCAACCUGCCCAUCACUUGGGAAUAACCUUGCGAAAGUAAGACUAAUGCCCAAUGAUAUCCCACGAAGGCAUCCGAAUGGGAUUAAAGAUUUAUCGGUGAUGGAUGGGGAUGCGU
rnacentral:rRNA from 1 species